CCUACGGGGGGCAGCAGUGAGGAAUAUUGGUCAAUGGCCGUAAGGCUGAACCAGCCAAGUAGCGUGAGGGAAGACUGCCCUAUGGGUUGUAAACCUCUUUUAUGCGGGGAUAAAGGUGUCCACGUGUGGCUGUUUGCAGGUACCGCAUGAAUAAGGACCGGCUAAUUCCGUGCCAGCAGCCGCGGUAAUACGGAAGGUCCGGGCGUUAUCCGGAUUUAUUGGGUUUAAAGGGAGCGUAGGCCGGUCUUUAAGCGUGCCGUGAAAUUUUGUGGCUCAACCGUGGGAGUGCAGCGCAAACUGGAGACCUUGAGUGCGCGGGAGGCAGGCGGAAUUCGUGGUGUAGCGGUGAAAUGCUUAGAUAUCACGAAGAACCCCGAUUGCGAAGGCAGCCUGCCGCAGCGUUACUGACGCUGAGGCUCGAAAGCGCGGGUAUCGAACAGGAUUAGAUACCCUAGUAGUC
rnacentral:rRNA from 1 species